UACAGAGGUCUCAAGCGUUGUUCGGAAUCACUGGGCGUAAAGGGCGCGUAGGCGGUCGUGACAAGUCACUUGUGAAAUCUCCGGGCUUAACUCGGAACGGUCAAGUGAUACUGUCGGACUAGAGUACAGAAGGGGCAACUGGAAUUCUCGGUGUAGCGGUGAAAUGCGUAGAUAUCGAGAGGAACACCUGCGGCGAAGGCGGGUUGCUGGGCUGAUACUGACGCUGAGGCGCGAAAGCCAGGGGAGCGAACGGG
rnacentral:rRNA from 1 species